rnacentral:lncRNA from 1 species
AUGACUUCUAUUUCACAACAGUUCAUGCAUGGUUGCAUGCAGCAGGACAAGCUCCAGCAGAUCCACUUGCUGACUUUUUCAUGCUCUUCUAACAAAUGUAUGGAUACAAACCAUUUAGCUUUUAUCAGCUGAAAACAAGAAAUCCUUCAUGUGAACUACAGUAGCCACGUGUGACUUGUAGUGUUUCAGUUGAUUUGGAGGAAAGAUUUGAUGUCUUUCAUUUCUCUUGAAGAGCAAAACUAUCAGAUGAAUAGGUGAAAGUGUAUGUGGAAGAAAUUUGAGCUUUGACCUUUUUUUCCCCCUUUUGUGAUGACUGUUUUUCAUCUUUCCUAGUGAAAGUGACAGCCAGCAUUUUGUGAAUCUGUCCUGUGGAAAACAUACCCUUAAAAUAAGCAUGCUUAAAAUCAACUUUAUUUUAUUGUACACAAGUAAUGCAUGACCUGUAAGAAGCAAACAUUUCUGAGUAAAUUACCAAAUGAUUAUUAAGCAUGCUUGUAGGAUAUAAUGCAAGAGACUUUGUCAUUGUCAAGGGUUAAGCUAAAAAAGCAAAAUGGAAAUAAUUUAAGGAUGAUAUUAAACUACUUUGGGGAGUGAAGGAAAUUUGUGAAUUUCAUCAGACCUCAUGAUUUAAACAUAUUCAGAAAUUAAUUGGUGUAUAACUCUUUACUUUGUCAAAGUGUCAGGACUUGGUCAGUAUAUACUGAGAAAUCCCUCUGCAUAACAGCGAAAUCCUGAUUUGUAUUUCAAUCCAGUAUUUACAUGGUGAAAUCUUGACCUUCUUCAGGUGAAUAGGAUCUUCUGUGUAUUUGACUUAGAGACAAAGCUUGGGGAGACAUUUGGACAAGUUCACUAGGCAGUGAAGGAUAUGCAUCCCUUUUUGCUAGUGGCGUCCAAUGCACUUUCACAGUAUUUGUUAAAACCAAGCCCUCCCUUAAAUCCCUUUGUUGUUAGAAGGAACCAGUCCUUGGCGAGCCUGAUGUGACGGUCUAAGACUCAUUAUAAUACAGUAUAGCUUGCCUGUGUAGUGAAGGCUGAGUAUUAGAGCAGAUGUGUCAGACAUUGUCCUAAAAAUGAGUGACAUAAGUGUCAAGUACUUUCAUUGUAGCUGUCACAUAUUUGAGCUCCAGUCUUC